rnacentral:rRNA from 1 species
GACGAACGCUGGCGGCGUGCUUAACACAUGCCAGUCGAACGGAAAGGCCCUGCUUUUGUGGGGUGCUCGAGUGGCGAACGGGUGAGUAACACGUGAGUAACCUGCCCUUGACUUUGGGAUAACUUCAGGAAACUGGGGCUAAUACCGGAUAGGAGCUCCUGCUGCAUGGUGGGGGUUGGAAAGUUUCGGCGGUUGGGGAUGGACUCGCGGCUUAUCAGCUUGUUGGUGGGGUAGUGGCUUACCAAGGCUUUGACGGGUAGCCGGCCUGAGAGGGUGACCGGCCACAUUGGGACUGAGAUACGGCCCAGCCUCCUACGGGAGGCAGCAGUGGGGAAUAUUGCACAAUGGGCGGAAGCCUGAUGCAGCAACGCCGCGUGCGGGAUGACGGCCUUCGGGUUGUAAACCGCUUUCGCCUGUGACGAAGCGUGAGUGACGGUAAUGGGUAAAGAAGCACCGGCUAACUACGUG